UACGUAGGGUGCAAGCGUUUAUCCGGAAUUAUUGGGCGUAAAGAGCUCGUAGGCGGUUUGUCGCGUCUGCUGUGAAAACUGGAGGCUCAACCUCCAGCCUGCAGUGGGUACGGGCAAACUAGAGUGCGGUAGGGGAGAUUGGAAUUCCUGGUGUAGCGGUGGAAUGCGCAGAUAUCAGGAGGAACACCGGUGGCGAAGGCGGGUCUCUGGGCAACAACUGACGCUGAGGAGCGAAAGCGUGGGGAGCAAACAGG
rnacentral:rRNA from 1 species